AGUAAAUAGGCCCAGUGAAGCAGCGGGACGGCCGGCGCCUGGCGAGCGGCGAGCCUGGCCACCAGUACUGUGCCGGGGUGGCAGCGAGGAGGGUGCUUGUGCAGCUUGCAGACACGUUAUUCGUCCUUGAGCCAGGCCAGAAUUCCCCCGUGAACACGAACUUGACCAGCUGGUUCGCUGAGAGCCUGGGAGGUGUGCUGCGCACCAUGGGCGGGAGGAGAGGGGUCCAACCAUCCGCGCCAGGGACCUCCUCUCAGGCCUUGGCCUCGCCCACUGACCCACUAACGGUGCUUAAGCCUUAAAAGUUCACCGCCAGGGAGGAGGCGGUCACAGAAAUUCUGCGAGCAGGACAGUGGGCAUCGUCGGCUACAACUCUCCUCCAGACCUGGAUCAGGCAGAUCCGGAUCCGGAUCACCCUAUUCACGAUAAUCCAGAUCUCGGUGGGAUAUAAAGCACAGUCUUUGGAACCAUGGAGAUCAGUAAAUUAAUACGGAUCAUCAUAAACAGAAGAGGUCUUCAGUUGCUCGGCUUUGAAUCAUUUGCAGAGGAUCAUGUCAAUCAGCCUGUCGUGAUGUCUGCCCUUGGAACUCCAUCAAGAUAGAGGCCUCAGCUCUCCUGCCAGCUUGAUGUCCAUGCAUGCCUGUCCCUCCAGCCUGCCUUCCAACAAGACAGCUACCAAAGCUUGACUGCAGAACCAUCCCACUCCAGUGUGCAAGCCCUCUCUCCAUCCAGGACAUAACAGCUGGCUUGUUAAAAGAUUAUCACACCUGGCAAGACUGUGCACCACAUCUGGUAGAGGAACUAUAAAGAAAAUGGAAAUCUUGUAAAUUUGAUUGUUUCAAGGUUAUUCAAUAAAAAGACUUGGGGACACA